rnacentral:rRNA from 1 species
CGCUGGCGGCAGGCCUAACACAUGCAAGUCGAACGUGAAGCUGGAGCUUGCUCCAGUGGAAAGUGGCAGACGGGUGAGUAACGCGUGGGAAUUUACCCAGUGGUACGGAAUAACUCAGGGAAACUUGUGCUAAUACCGUAUAAGCCCUUCCGGGGGAAAGAUUUAUCGCCAUUGGAUGAGCCCGCGUUAGAUUAGUUUGUUGGUGGGGUAAUGGCCUACCAAGACUACGAUCUAUAGCUGGUCUGAGAGGAUGAUCAGCCACACUGGGACUGAGACACGGCCCAGACUCCUACGGGAGGCAGCAGUGGGGAAUAUUGCACAAUGGGCGCAAGCCUGAUGCAGCCAUGCCGCGUGAGUGAAGAAGGCCUUAGGGUUGUAAAGCUCUUUCAACGGUGAAGAUAAUGACGGUAGCCGUAGAAGAAGCCCCGGCUAACUUCGUG